ACGGCGAGUGAAGCGGUAAAAGCUCAAAUUUGAAAUCUGGUACUUUCAGUGCCCGAGUUGUAAUUUGUAGAAUUUGUCUUUGAUUAGGUCCUUGUCUAUGUUCCUUGGAACAGGACGUCAUAGAGGGUGAGAAUCCCGUUUGGCGAGGAUACCUUUUCUCUGUAAGACUUUUUCGAAGAGUCGAGUUGUUUGGGAAUGCAGCUCAAAGUGGGUGGUAAAUUCCAUCUAAAGCUAAAUAUUGGCGAGAGACCGAUAGCGAACAAGUACAGUGAUGGAAAGAUGAAAAGAACUUUGAAAAGAGAGUGAAAAAGUACGUGAAAUUGUUGAAAGGGAAGGGCAUUUGAUCAGACAUGGUGUUUUUUGCAUGCACUCGCCUCUCGUGGGCUUGGGCCUCUCAAAAAUUUCACUGGGCCAACAUCAAUUCUGGCAGCAGGAUAAAUCAUUAAGAAUGUAGCUACUUCGGUAGUGUUAUAGCUUUUUGGAAUACUGUUAGCCGGGAUUGAGGACUGCGCUUCGGCAAGGAUGUUGGCAUAAUGGUUAAAUGCCGCCCGU
rnacentral:rRNA from 1 species